AGUGAACGCUGGCGGUAGGCCUAACACAUGCAAGUCGAACGGCAGCACAGUAAGAGCUUGCUCUUACGGGUGGCGAGUGGCGGACGGGUGAGGAAUACAUCGGAAUCUACUUUUUCGUGGGGGAUAACGUAGGGAAACUUACGCUAAUACCGCAUACGACCUACGGGUGAAAGCAGGGGAUCUUCGGACCUUGCGCGAUUGAAUGAGCCGAUGUCGGAUUAGCUAGUUGGCGGGGUAAAGGCCCACCAAGGCGACGAUCCGUAGCUGGUCUGAGAGGAUGAUCGGCCACACGGGAACGGAGACAGGGUCCAGAGUCCUACGGGAGGGAGCAGACGGGAAUAUUGGACAACGGGCGCAAGCCUGAUACAGCCAUACCGCGUGGGUGAAGAAGGCCUUCGGGUUGUAAAGCCCUUUUGUUGGGAGAGAAAAGCAGCGGGUUAAUACCCCGCUGUUCUGACGGUAACCAAAGAAUAAGCACCGGCUAACUUCGUG
rnacentral:rRNA from 1 species